rnacentral:rRNA from 1 species
CCUGUAGCUUGGGAUGAUCACGGAGCCCCGACGGGGUGACGAAUGCCCUCGUCUAUGAAUAUUUUCACACACGCUCGAAGUAUGACAGAAUGUGCAUCGUAUCGCGUCUGAUAAACGUGACAAAUACAACUUUCAACAACGGAUCUCUUGGCUCUCGCAUCGAUGAAGAACGCAGCGAAAUGCGAUAAGUAAUGUGAAUUGCAGAAUUCAGUGAAUCAUCGAAUCUUUGAACGCACCUUGCGCUCCUUGGUAUUCCGAGGAGCAUGCCUGUUUGAGUGUCAUGAAAUCCUCAACUGUCCCAGGCUUUUGCGGCUUGCGGGUGAAGUUGGACUUGGAGGCGUGCUGGCGCAUGAAUGGGCUUCGUGCCCUGUCGUGCUUGUCGGCUCCUCUUGAAUGUAUGAGCUUUCCGAUCCUUGGCAAAGUAUCGUCGAUGUGAUAAUUAUCUGCAUCGCCCGAGAAAGCCUAACAGGGGAAACCUUUGAUCACGUCGGGGCGACCCGCGUCUGACAAAUUCGA